UUCACAAAGGUAAGAGACAGUGUUGGGGAAGGAACGUGCUUACGCGCACAUAGUUUAUGAGUUCGAUCGUAGUAUCCGGUUUCAGUGAGUGUUGUGUGAGUUGGCGAAGUAGUAAAAAAAAGAGGUUAAAGUGAGAGGAAGAAGAGAAAGAAGAGGCAGAAACUGACGGGCGCUGCUUGGGCGGAUGAUUAUCAGUUUUUACAACAACGAAUACAUUCAACGUUUACACAAGGUUGACCUCUUGCGUCUUUGCGUUGUUAGAUAACGAUAUUCCUUGGUGCUUGUUGACGAGCAGUCUCACUCUGAGACGGGUCGGUUGACUUCGUGAGAGAUAGAAA